AAAUGCGCUCUUCUUCUUCCACCUUGGUGUGACGUCGCUCCGGGCGAAGCGAAAUCCUCGCUGUCACUCAGAGAGGGAGAGAGAAAGAAACUGCAAUUAGUUUUAGGAGGACCCGGCUCAGAGCAGAAAGGGGGGUUGGCCUAGUUUCGGCUCAGUGACCCCAUCGUAAUUGGACACAUAUUAUUUGGAUCAUAACAAUCUGCAGACACUUGGAAUCGACCAGAUGACCAGGGGAGAAUAAAUGGUAACUCUGCAGAGAGGCAAUGAUAAGGAGUUAAACCUGGAGGUUUCAAUGAACCAGAUUCACACUGUUCCACGGGCUGAGGGAUUGUGUUGCAGAAAUGCAGCAAUGCACCAGUAAAGAAGUAAGAAAUGGAUGUGAACAACGCAGGAUUUGGAAAAAAAUCUGAAAUCAGCUCUGCAAAUGUUGUGAGGGAGAAAACACUGACAACACAUCUGUUGGACCUCAGAUUUACAAGAUUUAUAUUCAAAACUUAUUACCUGUAAAUAAAGUAUGAGGCAUUUCUACAGAUUUAGCCACCCAACAGUAUAUUUAAAAAAUGUUAAUGUAGCUCCCUUUCAGUUUAAUACUGACAGCAGCCAUCACUUUUGACACUGAUCUAAAUAACUGCCCAGAGAAUGUACGCUUUGUUGUACGUCCUUUAAUUUGUAAGGGUGGACAGAAUAAUGAGAACUGCUGCUUAAGGUGGCACCCAGACUGUUCCCCAUUCAGUGUUUUUACAGGUUAUGACAUCAACCGUUCAGCAGCUAAUCAGCCUUUUUAAACAAAAACAGAGCUCUAGAGAGCACUGAGAUGUGGAGUGACAACGUAAUAAGUCCUUUACUGAUUAUAUGAUGUUUUGAUCUUUUUCAUAUUUGAACUCAAGCUAAACACGGUCCUUAAACUGUAACAUGAUGCUAUAGACAACCAAUUUAACAUUUUCGGUCAAGCUUCAAACACUUGAGUGUGGUAUUGAUAAGGAACCACACUCUCUUAAUUUCACAGUAAAGUUAACCAUUUGGACUGCGUUGUUUUUAAUCCAAUAGCAGCAAUAAUUGUAGCUAGACGGGGACAGAGCAGACAUGUUCUCCAAAUGCGUCACAAUUUUGUGACUAAUGAUAACAUCACUGCUGAAGUUUGAUUAUUAGAUUAGAUUUGGCCAAAGCGCUGUGUGAUGUUAUUCCCACACACUGUGUGUUUGUGGGUACAUAGAUCAGUGUGUGUGCUGGCAUGUGUUUCCACUGUGUUAAUUACAUUUUGUAAGUUUCCAAAACUUCUGCCAGUUUCUCUGACUAGCACUCAAAGAAGCUCGCUGUCUUUAUGCAAAUUCAAAGGUGUGUUCUGUCACAACAAGCUGAAAUACAAAAGGUACUUAGCAAGACUUAAUUUAUGAUUAUGGUUUACAGUGGGUAUUGUUUGAAUUUGUACUGCUUGUAAACAUGUAUUUUUGGUUGAGAAAGUCAUGCUGUUUAUUUAAAGAUUUACUACACAAACACAAAUGUAAAUAUUUCAGUUUUCAGUCUUCUAGUCUAAAUCUAAACUGAUUAUUUAUUCAAUCUUCCACUUCCCUCACACAACACACACACAGCAAGAGUGACUAUUCAGUGUGAUUCAUCAGCAUUACCGGCAGAACAGUAACUUUAUUAUAACAGAUCUUAUCUGGUCUGCCCUGCUCACCAUUUGAAAGCCCUGGGUAUUUUUACUCUUUCUUCUCUGUCCAACUUGUGUCCAGAGGGCUUGUGGUGUUGCCGCUUGUUUGCAAAGAGAUAGAGGGGACCAGCCAGAUGGGUAACACACACAGUCUCACACACACACAAACACAGAUGGUCUUGGAGAUAGAGGGAAAAGAGGGAGAUGACUUUUGGAUCAACUUUCAUACACUCUGUGUCUCACCAGCCACACACAUGCACGCACACGGACACAGAGCGCUCAAAAGAGAAGCACAAUCUGGUAUGGACCUUCAUCAAGUCUAGUAUCAGAGUAUAUGCUCGUCAAAAAAUGGGUUUCAUUUUGUUAAAUAUUCUGCACUUAAUUAACUGUGACCUUGAUUUCAUACAACCUACAUAGUUAACACAAGCAAACUUUGCAUGUGAACUUAUAUUGAACACAGUGCAUGUCAGAGAAAAGGCCACUUAAUUUCUGAAUAAAAAGCUGUGAUUUUCUAUGUGACUAAUGAGGGAAAUGUUGAAGACCUGUCUGUCUGAGAUGAACGAUGUUACUGUAACAUUACCACUCAUAGCUUGUUCCCUCUGUUAAAUGUGGAUGAAAUUAAGCUCAGCUGUGACCUAAGGCAACGUCAACUGGAAGGUAGGUCAGUUUCUUUGUGUAUAGCACCAUCUUGUGGGACUUGUUCAAAGCUGAGCACAGAUGCUGUGGCCUCAUUAAGAUGAAGCACAGGUUGGUAAUGGCUAUGAAGUUAAUUGUAAUCCAUAAUUUAUGGAAAAUAACAUAAAGCCAAAAGACUACACAUUAAAUGAAGGUGAAAUCCUUUACUACCAGACUUCUCAGACAGUUUAGCUGCAAUCAGUUGUGCAGUUGUAUUUCUUAAGUAGUGGCGGUACAAAACAAUAAUAAAUAAAAAGCAUGAAACUUAAUCUACAUAUAGGCAUUUUAAAACAUUUGGAGGCCAGACAUUUGGCAAAUAUUUGAUCUGAACUAUAGGAAGAUGUUUCAAACAGUACAAAAAAUGCAUAUAUUUGUGUUAAUAUAUUUACACAAUAACACUAUAUUAUCCCACUAUAAUUAUGCUUGGUUUGUGAUCUUGUUG